UGAUCAAGAUCUCCAUCUGUUGUAUUUCAGUUAUCUACAGAAAUGCGCAUGCGCACCAGCCCCGACCUGUCCUGUGUUGUAAUACCACUUUGUGACGCUAGACGCUGUGUGAGUCAGUGGCGCGUCAAGUCUGCCCUCAGUCCCACGAAGAAGAACAACAACUUCCGGCAGCGCUUGGAGUUAGCGCCACAGAAACACAGGAAUGGCUGAACCUCCUAAAAGACGAUAUUCAUCUGCAUCCUGAAGGACCGCUCCCGACAAGAAACCACGUUCAACGGCAAAGAAAAGAAGCGACACGACUAAAUCUGGAUGUGACUUUCCACCGCUGGAGAAGCUGCUGAGAGGAAAGAGAUGCGGUUUGAUGCCGAGCUCGCAACUUUCCUGUUAGCCUGGACCUGAGCCAGUACAGGUGCAAUACCGCCUCCACCUGUCUCACCAACAGCAGAGAGUCCAGACACAGUGAGGAGGGUCCAGAACCAGAAGUCCAGUCUGAUCACCACCAAUGAUGGACCAGCACCUGCCUUUUCUUCUGCAUCCGGCCUCAUCAACCACAUUACAUCAACACCUUGAGAAGAAACUUUUCGGCUGCAGAAACAAACCCUCCGUCCAGAGACAAAGGUUCUGUAAAGGAUCGUCUCUGCCACUAGAUGUCGCUCUACAGCAGCAGCAUC